rnacentral:lncRNA from 1 species
CUCAGGCCUUAAGAAUUCCUGCCUUCCCCCUCAGUCUGACCCUCGCUGUGCCCGUCUGGGUCAUGACAAUGCCCACUGGUUAUACAGGGGGGAAAAAAGGAGAGUCCAGUUUGCUGGUUUGCUUGGCCGGCCAGGCUCUGGGAAUGCGAGCCUUGCCCGCCCCUCCUCCGCGGGCUGUCUCCACUAGCUUCUCACCCCCUUGCUGCACGCCUGUCCCUUCGGGCUGCUCCGGCGCCACCUAUACAGUCCCCAGCCCGCCUCGCCAACCCCGCGGAAGAGCGGCGUGACUCACAGCGCUGCCACCAGCCCACGGUUUGCUGGAGGCAGGCGAAGGGUAUAAAGACUGCCCUGCGGGAGGGGACCCAACCCUGCCCUGCCUAGCCCGAGGCUCACAGACAUGGCCCCAGGCGCCGAGCAAGGACACCGGGCAGCAGGCUGGGGACUGCGUGGCGCCCUGGCAGCGGUGGCAUUGCUCUCUGUGCUCAAUGCGGCAGGAACGGUGUUCGCGCUGUGCCAGUGGCGCGGCCUGAGCGCUGCGCUGCGGAAGCUGGAGGAGCAGCGCGGCCAGGAGCAACGCGAGGACAGUGCCCUGCGUGCCUUCUUGGCGGAGUUGAGCCGCGCGCCGCGCCGUGCGCCAGCGCCACCCCCGGACCCCGCGAGCGCGGCGCGCAACAAGCGCAGCCAUCGUGGGGAGCCAGCACAGCACAUCCGCACAGAAAGCCAGGACAUGCUGAUGAUGAUGACUUACUCCAUGGUGCCGGUAGGCGGGGGCUCGUCUCCCGGUGGCGCCCCCGCCGGGCAGAACCUCGGGAGGUGUGGGGAAAAGGGAGGCGAAGUGCUGUGGGG